CAUUAUAUAUAUUUUAUUAAAUAAAUAAAUAAUAAUAAUUUUAAUAAAUAUAAAUUUUUUGUUAAAGUUUUAAAAAUCUCAUGAGCAAUUUUAGGUCCAACAAUUUCAUGUGGGAUUCGGAUAUAAAAUUAAAUAUUGUCUAUGACAAAAUUAUUAAUAAUGGACUGGGCCCUAAACAAUCCCCUAAUUCCGUCUUCCACUUGUCGUUUUACGUCUCGUCCCUUGUCGUUUUGCUUGUCGGGUCCAAAGAAAAUAGAAAUUCAGAAGAGAAGAGAUAUAGAAUGCUGCGUAGUAUUGGCGGUCAGGAGUCUCUCAAUCCAAUUCGUUUGAUCUCCCUUCUUUUAUUGUCUUCCUCUUCUUAUCCUAUCGCUCUAAAGGGUACACCUAGCUACUCGUUCUUUGACUCAGUUUGACCCAUCUCCCUGCCUACUAGUUAACUCUGAAUUCCUUCUAAUAUAAUUUUAUAUUUACAUACCUGUUAGACGUGUGUUACCGGGUUAAGAUAGUGGUGAGAAGAGUAGCAGAGGCAGUUUCAAGCGCAUGUUAAUCAACCCUGGCGGAGGAUCUCCGGCUUCCGCCACCUCUGAAGAAUGGACAAUCUUGCAUGGAAUCACUGGCAUGGUUUCCCCAGGUGAAAUCCACGCCAUCUUGGGUCCUUCCGGCAGUGGAAAGUCAACGCUUCUCGGUGCUCUCGCCGGCAGACUCCAAGCUGCCGGUCACGGAUUUACCGGUACUAUCCUAUGUAACAAUAAGAAACCCAGUAAACAAAUAUCAAAACGCAUAGGAUUUGUCACCCAAGACGAUGUUCACUACCCCCACCUCACCGUCCGCGAAACCCUAAUAUUCUGCUGUUUACUCCGGUAGCCCAGGUCAUUGUCGAAGAAAGAGAAGAUAUCAGUGGUUGAGUAGGUGAUAUCCGAGUUAGGUCUAAGUAAAUGCGAGAAUACCAUAAUUGGAAACAGCUUCACACGCGGGAUAUCCGCGCGGGGGGGGCGGGGGAGGGGGGAGAAAGAAAGCGGGUGAGUAUAGGUCACGAGAUGCUAAUAACCCCUACUUUGCUGAUUCUUGACGAACCCACAUCGGGGCUUGACUCGACGGCGGCGCAUAGUCUGGCUACGACAUAGGGAUCGUUAGCUCAGAAGGGGAAAACCGUAGUGACGUCUAUACACCAACCAUCAAGCCGAGUUUACCAGAUGUUUGACUCAGUGCUGGUUCUGAGCGAGGGACGAUGCUUGUAUUUCGGGAAAGGAAAUGAAGCAAUGAGUUACUUGGAGUCGGUGGGGUUAAAACCAUCUUUUCCCAUGAAUCCUGCGGAUUUCCUCCUCGAUCUCGCCAUUGAUACGUACACUUUUUCUUUCUUUUCUUUAUUUUAUUUUCUUUUAUUUUCUUGGUUGUUGCUGAGUUGAGUUGAUAUGCCUGUGGUUUAGUCUUCUCUGUAAAUGCGAUGUUGACUCAGUGGGUCAGUUCUAUAUAUAUAUAUAUGUAUGUAUAUAGAUGCGUAUAGGCAUAUAGAUGCGUUGCAUUCGUGGUUUGGGAGAUUUUAGAAAGCGUGAACUGACAGCUACUGAAGGUCGAAGAUGCAACAAAAUUUUAUAAGCCGUUUGGGUUUUAAUUAUUAAAUACUGAUAAACAUUUGUUAUAAAAUUAGGAAAACUAUAAUGCGGAGGACUAUACAUCUAUAUAUAUAUAUAUAGAGAGAGAGAGAGAGAGAGAGAGAGAGGGAGAGAGAGGGACAGGAUGUGAUGUAGCAGACGGUGGCUACUUGUGUUGGCCAUCUCUGGUCAAUUCAAUUAAUCUGCAAAAGCAACCUUGAUAGUAAAGAACUGUGUUAUUGCUGCUGCAUUAAUUGUUCCAGUGCUGCUGCAUUUUAUCAUCUAUAUAAUUUUAUUUUAUAUACAUGUAUAAGAUAAAGAAAGAUAUGCAAUCAAUGGGAGAUAUGGAAGGAGGGGCACAUCUACAAUACUUUUUAUGAUACGCAUCCUCGCUAACACGACAUUAAUUAAUCAAUCUUGGUCUAUAAGCAAUUUGUAGUUUGCAUUUUCUGUCUCUUUAAUCUUUAAUUCAUAUUUUUCUUCCUAAUUAAUUAACAAAUAAUCAUUUUAUAAUUUUGCAGCCAAGCCAUUGACCCUUCACGCAUGGGAUCAUCAUUAUAUCACAUCCCUUUUAUUUAUUUAUUUAUUGAAUUUCUUAGUCACUAAAAUAAUUAAUUUGACAUAUAAAUAUAUAUAUCUCCUCAUUUUUUUUUAAUAAAAAAAAAUUUAAUGUUGUUUUGGUUCUUUAUUAUAUUGAUUUUUAAUUCGAGAAAACUUAACCAACACGGUUCUGUGUUAUUUUAAUAAAUUUAAAAAAUUAAAAAAUUACUGUAUAUUAAAUUUCAUUAAUUUUUAAAUAAUUUAAAAUGUAAUUUUAUAAUAUUAAAAAUAAAAGGAUUCAUUUAUUCCAAAUACAUUUUGAUAAUAAUAACAACAACUAUGUUAAAUAUUCUACAAGUACACGUCAUAAUAUAUAGAAUUAAAAAUUGUUUAUGACGCAAUAAUUUGGCAAUUAGAAGAACAUAGACUGGACUGGGGUUCGGAGGAGAAUAAUCAUUUGAUUUGCCCAAUUUUACCCUCCUUAGAAUUUUAACUGACAAUUUGUCUCAACCUUUUAUUAUGUACAAAGCCUAUUGUCAUGCAUGUACAUAUAUAUAUAUAUAUAUAUCACAUUAAUUAAUUUUUUUUUUUUUAAAAAAAGACUCCAAUAUUUCCUAAAGACCGACUGUAUAAGAUAAUUAAUUACAUUCUAAAUUGUUCUAAUAUUUAAUUUAAAUAAACAAAACUGGAGAUAGAAUAAAUACAUUAUAAUACUUUUAGUUGUAUUUCUUCUCAAUAAUAUUUUACUUUUGACAGGUCAAAUACAAUACUAUUGUUUUUUUAUUUUAUUUGAUAACAAUGAUAAUAUCAUCUAUUUUAUUCCCAUCAAAGUAAUUGAUAUAUUCAAAUAAAUAAAAAUAUAUAUAGUAGAAACGAAAUAAAUCCAGGGGAGGACAAAAGAGGAAGCUGCCACGUGUAAGCGCACGUGAUUAAUCUUUUUGUUUAGUAGUAAACUGCACGUGAGUAUUACUUUUCGUUGGAUUAUUUGGUUUUAUGUUGAGUUUAUUAUGUAUUAACUAAAUGGGAUCUUAAAAAAAAAAAAAAACUGAAAAAAUUGAAUCAACGGUUCACCGUCUUCUAUUUUCCUUGAGUUAAAAAAUAUUACAUAACCUGGAAAAAGCGUUAAAAAUAUAAUUAUUUUAUUUUAAUACAAAAUUUUGAAGGGUUCAAGCCCAUGGGCCAAAAGCUUAAGUUGCAGUUGGAACCGAAUCUUUUAAUUUCUUUUUUAUGUUUAUCGUAAAGGUCGGAGAGGGGAACAGUGAGUGCCAGACACGUAUCACCGCCUCCUUCCGGAAGUGGGGACCGCCACUAUCUCCGAGAGAGAGAAUUAGAAACGACUUUUGAAUUUUAUUUUACGUAAUCAAGUUUUGCUGUUUGAGGUAAAAGUGGAAUUUGGUUACAUCACGGGUCAGCCCGCUGUCACGUUAGCAAAACCUCUUCAAUGUAGAAUGGUAGCAACAGUGAGCUGGCAAGGAAAAAAGUCAUGAAUUUCUGCACAACCUUUUUUUGAGGAGACUCCCCUUUUAAUGCGGAAAAGGCAGAUUUGCCAUGCCGUUCCUUUUUCCUAUUUAUUUAUUUAAUUAAAUAAAAAUUACUACCAAGUAAAAUUUUGAAGAUGCCGUUUCACGUAUUUAUUUAUUUAUUAUUAUUAUAAUAAUAAAUAUAUUUAUUAUCUGCGAUAUAAAAUUGAAAUAUAUCUUCUAUUCUUUUUAUAAUUGAGUUUUUUACUAGUAAUUAUUAAAGUAGGAACUUAAUUCUCUUAGCUGUCAAAUUAUAUAUAUGAUUCAAAAUUAUUUUAAACAUGCACAAAAAUUCAUCUUAGCUUAAACUUUACAGAAUCAAACUCUCAUCUAAUCCAAUAAUAAUAAUAAUAAUAAUUUUUAAUUAUUAGUUUAGAGUUAAAAUUUAAUAUGUAUGGAAAAAUAUAUUUUUUUUUUUGCACAAAGAAAGAUAAAAAUUAAAAAAAUUAUUAUAUAUAUUCAAAAGAUAUUGUUAAUGAAAAAUUGUUAGAAAUCAUUUGAUAAUUUACAUGUAAAAAUUGAUUUUUCCAUUUAAACCCAAAAACAAAAAAUUAUUCUCACAGUGAACGGCGCUUGAUUUUCUCAUCAAACUCACUUUCUCGCCACCUGUCACCUUCUUCUGCCACGUAGCACCUUUUCUUGUUAGUAUUUUCCUCUGACGUGGCAUCCACUUCCCCUCCCCCCCCCCCCCAACCCGGUUUCCCUUUUUCCCUCCUUAUAUACCCCUCCCCUCCUCCCCCCCCUUCCCUCCUCUCCAUUCGCAUCCCCCCCACCCCUCCUCCUCCUUUCAUAUUUCGUCUGUCGUUUUCCCUCUCCUCCUUUGUCGUUUUGCGUGUUGGGUCCAAAUAGAAUAGAAAUUCAGAAGAAGAGAAGACAGAAUCAUGCGUAGUAUUGGUGGUCAGGAUCAUACAGAGGAAACUCCCAAUGGAGUCUCUCAGUCCAAUUCGUCUGAUCUCCCUUCUUUCUUGUCUUCUUCUUCCUAUCCUAUCACUCUAAAGGUAUACUACCUUCCUCCCUCGGCGACUCAACUACUCGUUCUUUGACUCAGUUUGACCCAUCUCCCCACCUACUAGUUAACUCUGAAUUCAUUCUAAUAUAAUAUUAUAUUUACAUACGUAUUAUUUUUAUUUCUGUUCAUGCAGUUUAUUGACGUCUGUUACCGAGUAAAGAUAGUGGAGAAGAAUGGCAAAGGCCGUUUCAAGCGCAUGUUAAUCAACCCUGGCGGAGGAUCCCCGCCUUCCGCCACCUAUGAAGAACGGACCAUCUUGCAUGGAAUUACCGGCAUGGUUUCCCCGGGUGAAAUCCUCGCAAUCUUGGGUCCCUCCGGCAGUGGAAAGUCAACCCUCCUCAGUGCUCUCGCCGGCAGACUCCAAGCCGCCGGUCACGGAUUCACCGGGACUAUCCUAUGUAACAACAAGAAACGCAGUAAACAAAUAUCAAAACGCAUCGGAUUUGUCACCCAAGAAGAUGUUCUCUACCCCCACCUCACCGUCCGCGAAACCCUAAUAUUCUGC
rnacentral:lncRNA from 1 species